rnacentral:rRNA from 1 species
GACGAACGCUGGCGGCGUGCCUAAUACAUGCAAGUAGAACGCUGAAGAGAGGAGCUUGCUCUUCUUGGAUGAGUUGCGAACGGGUGAGUAACGCGUAGGUAACCUGCCUUGUAGCGGGGGAUAACUAUUGGAAACGAUAGCUAAUACCGCAUAACAAUGGAUGACACAUGUCAUUUAUUUGAAAGUGGCAAUUGCUCCACUACAAGAUGGACCUGCGUUGUAUUAGCUAGUAGGUGAGGUAACGGCUCACCUAGGCGACGAUACAUAGCCGACCUGAGAGGGUGAUCGGCCACACUGGGACUGAGACACGGCCCAGACUCCUACGGGAGGCAGCAGUAGGGAAUCUUCGGCAAUGGGGGCAACCCUGACCGAGCAACGCCGCGUGAGUGAAGAAGGUUUUCGGAUCGUAAAGCUCUGUUGUAAGUCAAGAACGAGUGUGAGAGUGGAAAGUUCACACUGUGACG